AGGGAACACUCCCAAUUUAUUUUCAGAGAAAUGGUUCCAUACACGUUUUCUUAUUGAAGCUUUGGUUAUUACUACAAAAAAAAUGUAGGGAUCCUCGUAUUAGAUAUGGAAUGGCUUUUUGGAAAAAAAUGAUUUCAAAUGAUUUUUUUAUUUCAAAAAAUGGGUGAAACAAACAGCUUCCAAGGAUACUUACAAGCUACUCUUCGAAGUCUACAGUAGCCACCUUAUUUAUUUUAGAAACUACGUGUUUAACACAGAAUUAUUAUUAAUAUCUUGAAACUCUCAUUUCCUCAUAUAACAUUUGUAGUUGCAAUAUUGAGGUUUCUCUUGACGCAAGAAUAGUGUUGAAGGGUUUAAUCACCUGUCUAUUGGAAUAAAAGAAAUCAGAUGGAGGAAUUCUGUUUGAUAGUAAAUUGGUAUUUGCUGUGACAUCGGCUUGUAAAGGGCUCAAUUUUUAUAUCACAUACCUGUACAUUUUUCACUAAUUUUUGUGCUUGCUACUUGUUUGAACCAAACUGGAAUAUACCACUUUGAUUUGGUAUCCUCUCUAGUGUCUAUAUUGAAACUUUGGAGAAAAUUUGAUUGCGUUGUUCAGAAUUGAACCAGCCAGAGGAUGUAACUACUCAGCUUUUUUACAAAGGUUCAGGUUACCCCUUUAGAAAUGUGUAAAUUAACGUUAAGCAUAAUUACAUUAUACAUAAUUAUUGAUGGAAUAGUCGAUGCACCUAUACUACUGAAUUAAAUUAAUUUCAAAGUCACUAAUCACUAUUUACAUUCUGUUCUGGAACAAAUCUUGAUAGUAUUUCUCCAACAGUAUCGAUGUGUUCGAACUUCAACAAAAAUAUUGUUAUCAUUGCCAUAUCCACGAUUCACUCAUAAAAACAGUUAAGCAGAGUAUUGACAUCAUCUCCUUAAUUUGAACUUGAAUUUUGUUAAGAUAUGGAUUAACAUGUUAUUUGUGUUAAAUAUGUAACUAUUCUAAUGUAUAUUGACCUGUAAAUGGAUUGGUCUUCAAAUUACCUACUACUCAUUUUGGCUCUCUGAAUUUCACAUCUUCAUUCUUAUUUAUAUUGUAAUGGUCAAUAUACAGACAUGCUUUUUAAUUUUUUUCCCUUGAAGACUUUGAAUGUCUAAAAAUUAUUAUAAAACUUGGUCUAUAA